CCGUGCCCUCUUCCUCUUCCCUUUUUUUUCCCAAUCCACCUCCACCGAUCCACCUCCGGUCCUCCACACGGCUCCGCCCAAUUCCAGAAUCAGAGGUUAGCUUAGAGCAGUGCUUCUACCGUUCUACGUAUUCUACCUUUGAAUUUCAAAGGUAUGUUAACUUUUAUUCCUUUCCUUACACUGUAUUUCUUCCUCCUUACACUGAUCCAUCAAUUUUCUUCAUCUCAUCUUCCAAUCUUUGAAGAUAAUCUGUAAUCUUGGAUAACCUUUGAAACCCAUUUUUAAUCUUCGAAACUUCUUUCAGAAACUCAGAUAUAGUUUUCGGUACAUAAACCAAACUCAAAUCCAAGCUUUGAGGACCAAAUCCAAACUCAAAUCGUCGAUAACCAAACUCCUUUCUUCUGCUCUACCAGGCGUUUCAUUUAUUUAUUUUUUAAAUUUUAUUUUCAGGGUUUGGACAUACAUGGCCGAAUCUAUAUAAACGAACAAGGGAUUAACGCACAG
rnacentral:lncRNA from 1 species